AUCCUUUUCCAGUUCAUAAGUGUGAUGAUUGGGUUCUCAUGUAUUUGCGUGACAGUGCCUCCCUCUAAACCUUGUUACAACAUGGGCUUGUAACCCAUCUGAUG